rnacentral:rRNA from 1 species
UACGUAGGGACCAAGCGUUGUUCGGAUUUACUGGGCGUAAAGGGCGCGUAGGCGGCGUGACAAGUCACUUGUGAAAUCUCCGGACUUAACUCGGAACGGCCAAGUGAUACUGUCGUGCUAGAGUGCAGAAGGGGCAAUCGGAAUUCUUGGUGUAGCGGUGAAAUGCGUAGAUAUCAAGAGGAACACCUGAGGUGAAGACGGGUUGCUGGGCUGACACUGACGCUGACAGCGCGAAAGCUAGGGGAGCAAACGGG